UGGGAGACCGCCACCUAUUGCUACUACUACCCCCUCCCGUCAGGAGCCUCAGAUACACAUGAUGCCUACUCCUGGUGUGCCAAGAUCAUGCACUCAACAAGCUAAUGAACCUUCCAACACUGCCUCACAUGGUGUGCAGAAUGAUCCAGCUAUUGUAGCUCCUAGUCGAGCAGGAUCUUGUGGGGAAAGACAAACCACAUCUAAUAGUACCCAAGAUGCUUAGGGUCAAGGAACAUCUACUGCCACUGGUCACUCCAGCACAAGUGCUCCCAAGCUUAGAUAUGAUGGUGCCAAAUGUUGGCACCCACCUAAGCCUGGAUUGAAGCGUAUUUCUCAGGUUUUUAAGAAAAAUUACAACAAGCCUUGGCUGAGUUUUGAUGAGGCAAAUGAUGAUACUCGAAAAAUAUGGUGGACUGAGUGGAUGGUAUUUUCUGGCUGAAAUUGAGGGAGCUGAGCAAAAAUCUGAUUCAGGCUGAAAAAGGACUGCUGAUGUUG